rnacentral:rRNA from 1 species
GACGAACGCUGGCGGCGUGCCUAAUACAUGCAAGUAGAACGCUGAAGGAGGAGCUUGCUUCUCUGGAUGAGUUGCGAACGGGUGAGUAACGCGUAGGUAACCUGCCUGGUAGCGGGGGAUAACUAUUGGAAACGAUAGCUAAUACCGCAUAAUAGUAGAUGUUGCAUGACAUUUGCUUAAAAGGUGCAAUUGCAUCACUACCAGAUGGACCUGCGUUGUAUUAGCUAGUUGGUGGGGUAACGGCUCACCAAGGCGACGAUACAUAGCCGACCUGAGAGGGUGAUCGGCCACACUGGGACUGGGACACGGCCCAGACUCCUACGGGAGGCAGCAGGAGGGAAUCUUCGGCAAUGGACGGAAGUCUGACCGAGCAACGCCGCGUGAGGGAAGAAGGGUGUCGGAUCGUAAAGCUCUGUUGUAAGAGAAGAACGAGGGUGAGAGUGGAAAGUUCACACUGUGACGGUAUCUUAACAGAAAGGGACGGCUAACUACGUG